rnacentral:rRNA from 3 species
CACCGAAGCUGCGGCAGCGACACUGUGUGUUGUUGGGUAGGGGAGCGUUCUGUAAGCCUGUGAAGGUGUGUCGUGAGGCAUGCUGGAGGUAUCAGAAGUGCGAAUGCUGACAUAAGUAACGAUAAAGCGGGUGAAAAGCCCGCUCGCCGGAAGACCAAGGGUUCCUGUCCAACGUUAAUCGGGGCAGGGUGAGUCGACCCCUAAGGCGAGGCCGAAAGGCGUAGUCGAUGGGAAACGGGUUAAUAUUCCCGUACUUGGUGUUACUGCGAAGGGGGGACGGAGAAGGCUAUGUUGGCCGGGCGACGGUUGUCCCGGUUUAAGCGUGUAGGUGUGUGUUCCAGGUAAAUCCGGUUCACUUUAACACUGAGGCGUGACGACGAGGCACUACGGUGCUGAAGCAACAAAUGCCCUGCUUCCAGGAAAAGCCUCUAAGCAUCAGGUAACAUCAAAUCGUACCCCAAACCGACACAGGUGGUCAGGUAGAGAAUACCAAGGCGCUUGAGAGAACUCGGGUGAAGGAACUAGGCAAAAUGGUGCCGUAACUUCGGGAGAAGGCACGCUGACACGUAGGUGAAGUGAUUUACUCAUGGAGCUGAAGUCAGUCGAAGAUACCAGCUGGCUGCAACUGUUUAUUAAAAACACAGCACUGUGCAAACACGAAAGUGGACGUAUACGGUGUGACGCCUGCCCGGUGCCGGAAGGUUAAUUGAUGGGGUCAGCGCAAGCGAAGCUCCUGAUCGAAGCCCCGGUAAACGGCGGCCGUAACUAUAACGGUCCUAAGGUAGCGAAAUUCCUUGUCGGGUAAGUUCCGACCUGCACGAAUGGCGUAAUGAUGGCCAGGCUGUCUCCACCCGAGACUCAGUGAAAUUGAACUCGCUGUGAAGAUGCAGUGUACCCGCGGCAAGACGGAAAGACCCCGUGAACCUUUACUAUAGCUUGACACUGAACAUUGAGCCUUGAUGUGUAGGAUAGGUGGGAGGCUUUGAAGUGUGGACGCCAGUCUGCAUGGAGCCGACCUUGAAAUACCACCCUUUAAUGUUUGAUGUUCUAACGUGGACCCGUUACCCGGGUUGCGGACAGUGUCUGGUGGGUAGUUUGACUGGGGCGGUCUCCUCCUAAAGAGUAACGGAGGAGCACGAAGGUUGGCUAAUCCUGGUCGGACAUCAGGAGGUUAGUGCAAUGGCAUAAGCCAGCUUGACUGCGAGCGUGACGGCGCGAGCAGGUGCGAAAGCAGGUCAUAGUGAUCCGGUGGUUCUGAAUGGAAGGGCCAUCGCUCAACGGAUAAAAGGUACUCCGGGGAUAACAGGCUGAUACCGCCCAAGAGUUCAUAUCGACGGCGGUGUUUGGCACCUCGAUGUCGGCUCAUCACAUCCUGGGGCUGAAGUAGGUCCCAAGGGUAUGGCUGUUCGCCAUUUAAAGUGGUACGCGAGCUGGGUUUAGAACGUCGUGAGACAGUUCGGUCCCUAUCUGCCGUGGGCGCUGGAGAACUGAGGGGGGCUGCUCCUAGUACGAGAGGACCGGAGUGGACGCAUCACUGGUGUUCGGGUUGUCAUGCCAAUGGCACUGCCCGGUAGCUAAAUGCGGAAGAGAUAAGUGCUGAAAGCAUCUAAGCACGAAACUUGCCCCGA